UAUUAGUGGUUAUUUAAGGACCAUUACUACUGGGCAGAUAUAACCUUGAAGCCCAUCUCUUGUAAAAUGAAUGUUACUUUCCAAAAUCGUAAGGCCCUUCCCAUCCCCUUCUUUAUAUCUUACAGAAAAACAUGUCUCUCACGUGUAACUCUUUGCUUUUGGAAAAACACAAUGUUACAACCACAUUGGAAGUUUACAUCUGUACCACAUGGCAUUGGAACCCUGGCACCCUUUUGUUUAACACCAAACAACUUACUGCUGACACAACACUGGGAAUUUAACAUUCCGGAACCCCUAAGCCCCAUGUGUUAAUUAACAUUCCGGAACCCUAAGCCCCAUUUGUUAAUCAUCAAACAUAACCCCCACCUGUUAUAACACUAGUCUGGUUUGCUCAUCAGGCGUUGCAAAACAUCAAACACUGACACAUCAAUGUUAAUCAUAAGUCACAGGACAUGAAUACGUCAUACCGGAAGUCCCAUCCUAACAUACGUCAUACCGGAAGUCCCACCCUAACAUACGUCAUAACGGAAGUCCCACCCUACAAACCGGAUGUCCCGCCAACCUGUCAAAUCAAUAUGGAAUCCCGCCCACCAGGGCCAUAAAUCACCAUUCUGACACAUUAUACCCUACACUAACUACUCAUAAAUCCACCAUCAAAUGCAUUUCUUCAAUCAAUCAAAUGUAUUUAUAAAGCCGAUGUCACAAAGUGCUUUUACAAAACACCUGGCCUUACACCCCAAUUAUUAUCUGUUUGGCCCAAAAAAAGUUAAAGUAUAUGGCAGUAAAGUAAUAUGACUAUUUUGUAGCAGUAUUUGGAGUAACUGGUCUCUCUGUAAAAGACUUGGCGUUUUUAACCUCAGCCAUCUUAGAAGCUUCUUCAGUUUUAUUUAUUGAAAAUGGGUAAUAACUAACCUACCAACAUGAAUGCUUUUUCUUCCCCUUAAGAUAAACUGGACAGUGCUACUCAAAGAAUUUGAGAGUUGGAGCUGCAAGUCUUGUCCCUAGAUAUUGAAAUCCAGCCCCUGACAGUUAAGAAGUGUUUUGGGAGUCCGUUUAUCCCUCUGCUUCACGGCUUGUAUACUGGUCUAAUGCACAGCAAACGGCACAAGUGACACCUAGUCCUCAGCGAAAACGUCCGCUUGUUGAUGAACUGUUUAUCUUUCUGUGUCGUGUUGCAGAUGGGCUUCAGGAGAUAACCUUGUCUACCAUCUUUGAGGUCAGCCUGUCCACAGUUAGCAUCAUUUUAACAUGGACUAGCUACCUUUACCAGGUUCUUGGCUCACAGCCGGUGUGGAUGACAAAAAAGCAAGUGCAGGCCACAAUGCCUGAUAAGUUCAAGCUUUACUCCCCUCAGGUGAGAGUUAUUGUUGUAGCUCCAUGUGGUGUUAUCACAUGUAUAUCAAAACAGGCUCCAUCUCCAACAUGGAAAUAACACGGAAAUGUCAGAUCUUGCAUUUACUUCAGCCCGGAGAUAAAGUAAGGGCUAAGGGUCGGUAGCCGGGAGAGCCGACGGAGGUUCGGUAGCCGGGAGAGCCGACGGAGGGUCGGUAGCCGGGAGAGCCGACGGAGGGUCGGUAGCCGGGAGAGCCGACGGAGGGUCGGUAGCCGACGGAGGGUCGGUAGCCGGAAGAGCCGAAGGAGGGUCGGUAGCCGGAAGAGCCGAAGGAGGGUCGAUAGCCAGAAGGGGCGCCGGGGCGGCCGGGACAGGAGAGGGCGCCGGGGCGGCCGGGACCAGACCCCGGCAAGCUCAGGCGGUGCAGGCCCCUCCUCCUCGGGCUCAGGCGGCUCGGGCCACUCCUCCUCAGGCUCAGGAGGCACGGGCUGCCGCUUCUGGCAGAUGGGAGGCGCGGGCUGCCGCUUCUGGCAGAUGGGAGGCGCGGGCUGCCGCUUCUGGCAGAUGGGAGGCGCUGGCUGCAACUCCAGGGCAGCAGGGAACAGUCGGCGCCGUGGCGCAGGCACCGGACGUAGAGGGGGCGCCGUCGGGACUUCCCUCGGGCACCCACUCAGCCCCCCCUAAAAAAGUCCUGGGGAGACCUCGUUUCAGGAGAGGACCGCAGACCCGGCGUUGGGCACCUUGCCCUAGAGUGCAGUGCUGCCAGUUUUGGCUGGGCCCUCCCAGACGAAGGGAAGAUGUCCCUCUCCAAACGGAACGGGUACCAACGUUCGCUCGAUGUGCUCCUUGCUGAAGGGUGCUUCCCGCUCCAGUUGUUGGUAGCGCACCGAGCCGAGCAAACAUUUGAGGCGGCGGUUCCAUAUAUUGUCCUUCUCCUUUGUAGCCUGCUGGUUCCAGUUUCGGUGGAUCAUUCUGUAAUGAAUGGUGCAGUGUUGCGGGAGCAAGGAACCAGGUUGCAGGCAGAGGUAUUCUGUGUAGAUCUUUUAAUUUAAACAAAAGUAAUACCGAGAACAGAACAACGAAAGAAAAGGCUGACAUCAGCAGCAAAACGAAAGCAAGCAACGAUAUAAGGUACUUACAUUUAAACGGCAACACACAAGACAUCAAACACAACAACAACAAUGAUCCACACUGUGGGGAAACAUUUAAACACAUACAAAUUACAGGGACCAGGUGUGAAUGAUGAUUGACGACGUGACACAACAAGUCCGGGAUGCAUUCAUGUGGUGAUGGAAACAGAAUGUACGGAACGGUGGCGCUGCUGCUCACCGUACCAUGACAGAUGUUUUUGCAAAUUUAAGGUGCAUAUUUCCUGAGUGAGCUAGGUGGACUGUAAAUAUAAUGCUUUUAUAUUACUGUAUUGUAUGUACAAUUUUUUUUUAUAUUAACUUUGGUGGUAAUUCAGUUGGUCUAAUGUUAUACUAUAUGUUUUUUGUUAGGGGUAAUGAGUUUUUCAUGGCUAUUAAUGAACCUAAUGUUGUGAUAUUUUGUAAAAAAAAAAACUGUGCUUAUGUGUCAG
ensembl:lncRNA